CACAACAUGUGUGCUUCAGCAGGAUGUUCCUGACGGCUACCAUCGCUCUUUUACGCCGCCGAAAACUCACAGGAGAAAUAGCAGAGAAUCAGAAUGUGUAGACGUCUGAGUGUAUUUGCCUUUAAACGCCACACACAGGGCUGUCCCACAUGGCAUAUCUCUGACUGAGGACUAACUCCUCCCAUCAUCUCUUCAGGACAAGGCUAAAGCCUUCCUUGCUUCCUUUCGCCACCACUCUUCCUCUGCACAAAACAUAUCAGAUGAGCUGAAAGAGUGUCACUAGGGAGCUUUGCGUGAAGCUGCCAGGGAUGACGUAGUCGCCUCCCCAUGAGGAUAAGACAGAGGUGAAGCUUUCCUAUGGAUCACAGCAAACAUGGAUCCCAACCGAAUGUCAACCAGCAGGUUCUUGCUGCCGUCGACUUCCCUGAGACACUGCGCGUCAACACCCGGCAGUGGACGUACACUUCCGACUAUCAGGUACUGUUAAACUCACUAAAACACUAGCAACACAAUAGAAAGAUAAGGGAUUUUCCAGAAUUAUCCUAGUAAAUGUCUCUAAAAACAUAUGAAUCCGUCCCAAUGCAACGCGAUUGCAACU